rnacentral:rRNA from 1 species
AUUGAACGCUGGCGGCAGGCCUAACACAUGCAAGUCGAGCGGAUGAAGGGAGCUUGCUCCUGGAUUCAGCGGCGGACGGGUGAGUAAUGCCUAGGAAUCUGCCUGGUAGUGGGGGAUAACGUCCGGAAACGGGCGCUAAUACCGCAUACGUCCUGAGGGAGAAAGUGGGGGAUCUUCGGACCUCACGCUAUCAGAUGAGCCUAGGUCGGAUUAGCUAGUUGGUGGGGUAAAGGCCUACCAAGGCGACGAUCCGUAACUGGUCUGAGAGGAUGAUCAGUCACACUGGAACUGAGACACGGUCCAGACUCCUACGGGAGGCAGCAGUGGGGAAUAUUGGACAAUGGGCGAAAGCCUGAUCGAGCCAUGCCGCGUGUGUGAAGAAGGUCUUCGGAUUGUAAAGCACUUUAAGUUGGGAGGAAGGGAAGUAAGUUAAUACCUUGCUGUUUUGACGGUACCAACAGAAUAAGCACCGGCUAACUUCGUG